rnacentral:rRNA from 1 species
GAUGAACGCUGGCGGCGUGCUUAACACAUGCAAGUCGAACGAAGCACCUCUCCCGAAGAUUGACACAGCUUGCUGUAGAUUGAUUCAUUUGAGGUGACUGAGUGGCGGACGGGUGAGUAACGCGUGGGUAACCUGCCUCAUAGAGGGGGACAACAGUUGGAAACGACUGCUAAUACCGCAUAGUAAGAAGAAUUCGCAUGUUUUCUUCUUUAAAGAUUUAUCGCUAUUAGUUGGACCCGCGUCUGAUUAGCUAGUUGGUAAGGUAACGGCUUACCAAGGCGACGAUCAGUAGCCGGGUUGAGAGAGUGAACGGCGACAUUGGGACUGAGACACGGCCCAAACUCCUACGAGAAGCAGCAGUGGGGAAUAUUGCACAAUGGGGGAAACCCUGAUGCAGCGACGCCGCGUGAGUGAAGAAGUAGUUCGGUAUGUAAAGCUCUAUCAGCAGGGAAGAUAAUGACGGUACCUGACUAAGAAGCCCCGGCUAACUACGUG